GUACUUCUUUUUAUGAUUACCACAGAUCAUUCUCCACAAAGGAGUCUACGUCCCUGGCUCAGUUUAAUUUUCAGACAGACUUGAGCCAGCUUGAUACAGAACUAUUUUGCAGGCACUUCGUGGGCCUCAGGUCUCCAGCUUGUAGGUGUUUGCUCCUCAUCCUCACCCACCACUAACCUAUGUCCCAAUACCUCUGUGCAGGGUGCGGCCUAUCCUUUUCCUACUCCCUCAACUAAACCUGAGAGAGUGAUUAAGGACAAGCUCGGCUGUAAUAUUGUUUUCCUUUGCAAAUCCCAGAUCUGCAAUAACGUAAAUGCAGGUUCCUGUGGAUUUAGCACUGUCAGGGUGCAGUACGGAAACCGGGACCCCUGAGUGCCUGAUGAGAAGUGGGAGUCUUAGCGUGGUAAUGGACUAUCAGGGCCUGGUGCAGGGUAACCGCACGCCCUCUGGUGUUGAGCACCAGCGUUUGGGCGGCCACAUACCAGGUCCCCGAUGCAGCUAUAGCGGAUCCCAGGAACUUGAAGCUAGGAAGUAAGCAGCCCCCCCAGGAGCUGAAUAGGGAGGCUCUGCAGCAGACAUGUAUCCAGUACAGAAAACAAGGCUAGGAUAGUCACCAAACAUGAAAACAAGACUGAACUAGUAGAACCCAGAACCAGAGAAGGAUAGGAAGCUAAACCCAGAACAUGUACACAGUACAUAAGGGAAACAUUGACAUAACAUGGACAGGACUGUACAUGGACUGGGAAUACAAACUAAAACAAGGCAAGCUAUGAAUGACAAAACAAGAGGAGAAAUAACUAAGCACUAUAUAUGAAAAUCAUGGGGAUUUAGUCACAUUAUAUGAUCAUACAUUGCAUAAGCCUGCUAACAACGCCAAUGUACCCCAUAUCUGGCAGGUCCUACACUGCCUAAUGUUCGCUAAAAGAACCAUACUAAACCACAAUAGCACUUACCUGCAAGAAAUGGCAGAG